rnacentral:rRNA from 1 species
CCUACGGGGGGCAGCAGUGGGGGAUAUUGCACGAUGGGGGAAACCCUGAUGCAGCGACGCCGCGUGGGUGAAGAAGCGCCUCGGCGCGUAAAGCCCUGUCAGCAGGGAAGAAAAUGACGGUACCUGAAGAAGAAGCCCCGGCUAACUACGUGCCAGCAGCCGCGGUAAUACGUAGGGGGCAAGCGUUAUCCGGAUUUACUGGGUGUAAAGGGGGCGCAGACGGCGAUGCAAGCCAGGAGUGAAAGCCCGGGGCCCAACCCCGGGACUGCUCUUGGAACAGCGUGGCUAGCGGGCGGGAGGGGCAG